rnacentral:rRNA from 1 species
GUGUCAGCAGCCGCGGUAAUACGGAGGGUGCAAGCGUUAAUCGGAAUUACUGGGCGUAAAGCGCGCGUAGGCGGUUUGUUAAGUCAGAUGUGAAAUCCCCGGGCUCAACCUGGGAAUGGCAUUUGAGACUGGCAGGCUAGAAUGUGGUAGAGGUGAGUGGAAUUCCAGGUGUAGCGGUGAAAUGCGUAGAGAUCUGGAGGAACAUCAGUGGCGAAGGCGACUCACUGGGCCAUUAUUGACGCUGAGGUGCGAAAGCGUGGGUAGCAAACAGGAUUAGAUACCCUGGUAGUCCACGCCCUAAACGAUGUCAACUAGGUGUAUGGAGAAUUUAUUCUUUGUGUAUCGAAGCUAACGCGAUAAGUUGACCGCCUGGGGAGUACGGUCGCAAGACUAAAACUCAAAUGAAUUGACGGGG